rnacentral:rRNA from 1 species
CCUACGGGUGGCAGCAGUGGGGAAUAUUGGACAAUGGGCGAAAGCCUGAUCCAGCCAUGCCGCGUGUGUGAAGAAGGCCUUCGGGUUGUAAAGCACUUUCAGUGGGGAAGAAAGCCUUGGGGCUAAUACCCUCGAGGAAGGACAUCACCCACAGAAGAAGCACCGGCUAACUCCGUGCCAGCAGCCGCGGUAAUACGGAGGGUGCGAGCGUUAAUCGGAAUUACUGGGCGUAAAGCGCGCGUAGGCGGUCUGAUAAGCCGGUUGUGAAAGCCCCGGGCUCAACCUGGGAACGGCAUCCGGAACUGUCAGGCUAGGGUGCAGGAGAGGAAGGUAGAAUUCCCGGGGUAGCGGUGAAAUGCGUAGAGAUCGGGAGGAAUACCAGUGGCGAAGGCGGCCUUCUGGACUGACACUGACGCUGAGGUGCGAAAGCGUGGGUAGCAAACAGGAUUAGAUACCCUGGUAGU